ACCUUGUCAUCAGUCACAAUCGAUGGGAUGUUUGUCGUCGUCAGUGCCGUUGUGCAACUGCUGCCCCGUGGCUGCGAUGUUGCCGCACUGCUGUUGCUUUGUUGCGACGUGUAUGUACUUGUGAAGCACUCUGCAGGUAUGCUCACCGUCUCUUCUCAAAGGCGGGUGGAGCCCUCCCCGCUCCGCAGGGAACAUUCCGGGCCCCGGGCGAGGGCCCGGCUUACGAACAGCUGUUUGCAUGAUAACCUGCUCUGCUUCGGAUCUGCUGGUUUCGAAUGCUUUCCAAGGCCUCACCCAGAGCAGCCUGAAUUGUCACCAUGGCCUAGUAACAAAUACCACAACAAAUGAACAUAACACGGUAUUGUAGAUCAUCUACACCUUCUCUGCACCUCUUCAGUCAGACAGCACUGAAGACAGUUCGGUGACAUGGAUGUAAAGUAGCAGUCGAAGGUUGAGCACGCACGGGCAACCUGGGAAAUGUCUGCAAAUGGACAAACGGGACGGGAGAGCCAAUGGAAAGCAACCAGGAGGCCACGAUGAGCCUGGCUGUCAGUCGGGAGCCCCGCAAGACGGCGGGGAACCUCAUGUCGAAGCUGCUGGACGCCGAGGAGGACGAGUUCUACCAGACCACGUACGGCGGCUUUAACGAGGAAUCUGGGGACGAUGACUACAAGGGUGACCAGUCGGACACGGAGGACGAGGUGGACAGUGACUUUGACAUCGAUGAGGGUGAUGAGCCCGACAGCGAUCAGGACGACGACGAGCCAAGGAGAAAGAGGCGCGUCGUUACCAAGGCCUACAGGGAGCCUAUAAACAUAGUGAAGCCCAAACCAAAGCCCAAGAAGCCUUCGGAGGUUCCCAGGAGGGCAGAAAAGGCAAAGGUGGCAAAACGUUUCUCCCUGGAGACACUUGAUGACAUAGGCGAGAACCGCAAGUCUGUGCGCCAGUCCACCACAGAGCACACAAGGAUGACCUACCUGCGCCUGCAGGAGAGGCAGGUGGCCCCCCGGCGGCGGAAGGGAGCCCACCAUGAGCGGCCUCUCACUCAGGAGGAGCUGCUGGCAGAGGCCAAGAUCACAGCAGAGCUCAACCUCAGAUCGCUGGAGAACUAUGAGCGUCUGGUGGCAGACAAGAAGAAGCAGGUCCACAAGCGGCAGCACUUUGAGGGGCCCACCAUCCGCUACCACUCGGUCCUGAUGCCACUGGUGUCCGACUCCCACCUCAAGGAGGAGAACGUGGAUGUGGAAGGGUUAGACCAGGACACCCCGCAAGUUGUGCCUUCGGUCCCUUCCGGUUGCUCUGACAGCGGUGCUGCAGCCUCCCAGCAGGCCCCAGGAGGCCUGUGCUCCCGCACCUUCGUCACCUUCAGCGACAACGAGACCUUUGAGUCGGUAUUUCCAAGGUCUCGAGGACCUCGGCUCCCCAUGCGCGAGGUUUGCCCCGUUACUCACAAGCCGGCCCUGUACCGGGACCCGGUCACCGACAUCCCGUACGCCAACACGCGUGCCUUUCGCAUCAUCCGUGAGGCCUACAAGAAGUAUGUGGCGGCUCACGGGCUGCCCAGCAGCACGGGAGGGUUAGCGGGGGAUCCUGCAUCCAGAGGCCCCCGGCAGAAGAUCGUCAUCAAGCAGAACGUGUCGGCCUCAUAGGACAUCAGCUGUCGACCUCUGACCUCCAGACUCAGGAAGCACAUUUUCCCGUUGAUAUCCCACUUCCAGGGUGGUGAAGCAGCGCAUGUCGGUAUGAUCUGGACAGACCUCCGAUUGGCCUGGAGUAAUCGCUGCGACAACCUGAAUGCGGCACUAAUUACAGACUCAAAUUACAAACUCUGCAAUGUGAAGACUGAACUCAUCCGGUUUCACACACAAAGGAGGAACGCUUCACACUCCUGAGUGUGUCCAUCCUGACUGUCCACCAGACCUUCUCCCGAUGGCACUGUCUGUUAAAAGCGAGUGCUAAUGGAAGGUGCGCCAAGAAGUCGUAAGGGUUCUAGCUGGAUCUUUCACAGCCGGGUUCUUUGUUGGGCAGCAGAUAUUUCUCCGCACAGCGACUUGCAUGAGACACCUACAGGGACGAUUAGAGGAUAGAGGCAAGGUCAGUGACUGCGGUAAGUACU